rnacentral:misc_RNA from 1 species
UUAAGUUCAGCGGGUAGUCCUACCUGAUUCGAGGUCAACCUUAAAAAAGUCGGGGGUUUUACGGCGUGGCCACGCUGCUCUUCCAGUGCGAGGUUAAGUUACUACGCAGAGGUCGCCGCAACGGGCCGCCACUGAAUUUCGGGGUCGGCGCCGGACUGUGUCCCGCUUUGCCGUUCCCCAACACGAUCUCGUCAAUGAAG